rnacentral:rRNA from 1 species
CACCUUCGGGUGUGAAUUAGCGGCGAACGGGUGAGGAACACGUGAGAAAUCUGCCUUCAACACUGGGAUAACUCCGGGAAACCGGGGCUAAUACCGGAUACGAGACCUGCAGGCAUCUGCGGGUCUGGAAAGUUUUUCGGUUGAAGAUGAUCUCGCGGCCUAUCAGCUUGUUGGUGAGGUAAUGGCUCACCAAGGCUUCGACGGGUAGCUGGUCUGAGAGGAUGAUCAGCCACACUGGAACUGAGACACGGUCCAGACUCC